CCCUUAGAUGUUCUGGGCUGCACGCGUGCUACACUGAUUAUUUCAACAAGUGUUUUAACUGGAGAGUUUGCGUAAUCCUGAAAUGUUAUCGUGAUGGGAGUAGAGUAUUGUAUUUGUUAAUCUUUAACGAGGAAUUCCUAGUAAGUGUAGGUUUAUAAGUUGUUCUGAUUACGUCCCUGCCCUUUGUACACACCGCCCGUCGCUACUACUGAUUGGGUGUUCAAGUGAGAUGCUUAGACCCUUGUUGCAUGGUUCAUUAUUGUGCUCCGAAAGGAAAAAGUUUCAAGCUUGAGUGUCUAGAGGAAGUAAAAGUCGUAACA
rnacentral:rRNA from 1 species